CCUCAUUUAAAGGACGCGGAGGAGCGGGAGAGAGAGAUGCUCAGCCGCUCCUCCUCCUCCGGGGCCAGGACUUGCUUCUUAUUUGCUGGGUGCGAUCUCCCUGCAGCCCUCAGAGGCGGUGGCCGCUGCUGCUUUCAUUUCUGGGCUGCCGUAACCAGAAAUGCCUGCUGCCGGCCGCCCGCCCGCAGGCUCUGCUCCAGCCAGGUUGUGUCCUGACCUGGAGUUGAAGGGAGGCAACCGCAGAUGGAAAUCUUGUCUGAAAUCUAUUCUCCAUGUUGUCAAGGGCUGGUAAUGGGCUCAGUCUACCCGGACAUGGGGCUGCAUCAUCCCAGGACUCAAUCCAGAGGGAAGGGUGUCUAUUUGGUGAUCAAGACACCAUGGGGGUGUUAUGGUUUGGAUCUGAAAUGUUGCCCGAAGACUCAUGUGUUGAGGGCUAGUUCCCCAAUGCAUUUGGGGAAGUGAAUGGAUUAUGAGGUUCUGAUCUCAUCAAUGCAUGAAUCCAUUGAUAGGUUCACAGUUUAAGGGACUACUGGAAGAUUCUGGAAACUUUAGGAGGUGGGACCUGGCUGAAGGACACAGGUGUCACUAGUCGGGUGCCUUUGAGGGGCAUAUUUUGUCCUUGCCCCUUCUUCCCAGCCGACAUCCUUCUCUGUCCCAUGUUCCUAGUCAUGAUGUUCUUCCUUUCCUCAGGCCCAAAGAUGGUGCUGGCUGGCCAUAGACUGAAAAAUCUGAAACUUUUCCUUUGCUACUCAGCUCCUCUGCAAAGGAAUUUUAUAAGGCACCAAGACAAAGGAGCCGAGUGAUCAUCCAGUGCAAGGGGAAGCCCUUGAAGGAUACAAGCAGACAACAAUAAAAGACACAGAACGCAGAACAUUACAGCGGGGAGCAAGGGGAAAGAAAGCCAGGAAACCACACCACUCUCUGCUCUGUGUACAGAAGGUCCCUCCAGAUGCCCAUUGUCGCCCUGGGCAGGAACUGACAUUAAUUGAGUGCUUAAUAUUGAAGACUUGGGCCAGGCUGGAUCUCAGAGGCCAAAUCUGUACCGAAAGGCUCACCUGCUGGGAACCUCUCUAACUGGCACUGGAAGAUCCACAGAAUAAAACGGAACUGUGGUGUCAGCUAUCCCAGGCUUCCAACCUGGGAAAUAAAGAAAGGGCAUCUUCCUAAACUGCAUUCCAGACAACUGAAUUGUGACCUCAGGAACCGAUAUUCAAAGAUGAUCAGUUAGAAGGGGAGUGACACUGUAUCCUAGAGUUGAUCCCUCCUUUAUGGCACAGGAGCUGUGUUGGCAGAGUUGUUGAAUGACUGUGGCCUCAGUUUCCUUGUCUGUGAACUAGGGCUUAUCCCACAGUUUAAAAAUUAAAUGAGUGCCAAGGCAGGUGACAAGUGUUAUGUACCAGAUCUGUAGUGACCAAUGAACCCAGAAUAUUCAGCACAAGAUGUCCCCUGAAGCUCACACUCGUGUUAGGAAAGAGGGAGAGGGACCAUCCUUCUGCAGAGGGAUCCUUACUUAUAGCCACCUGUGCAGAGCCGGCUACCAAGGUGAGGUGGAUCUGCAACAUGGCUGAAGGUUUGUCAAGCAAAGAAAACCUAAACAUAUACAUAGACAACUUUGAGGCCUGGGGUAAACUAUGUGAUUAGAGGUUCUUGUUAG